rnacentral:sRNA from 1 species
GGGCAGUGGAUGGCAGCGGGUGCCGUGGAGCAGGAGCGUCGCUCCUCGGGGAGGCUCUAGCUGCACAGGAGCCUGCUGGUGGGGGUGGAAAGGCUCAGGCAUGGCAGGCUGCAGGUCUCGGGGAGGCAGCUAAGGCCCGGCGAGAAAUCGAGCACAGCAGCUGGUGGCCCAGGUGCUAAGCCCCUCACUGCCCGGGGCCAGCCGCUGUGAGUGCGGGGUUCGCCACGCCUACACGGAACUCGCGCUGGCCCACAAGCACCACCCACAGCCGCAGUUCCCGCCCGCGCCUCUCCCUCCACACCGCCCAGCAAGCUAAGGGAGCCAGCCUGGGCCAGCCCAGAAAGGGGCUCCCACAGUGCAGCUGCGGGCUGAAGGGCUCCUCAAGCACGGCCAGAGUAGGCGCCAAGGCCGAGGAGGCGCCGAGAGUGACCGAGGGCUGCCAGCCCGCUGUCACCUCUCAAGGGGUCUUAUCUGGCUUGCCAAAACAUCAAAGACCUAGACGUUUUUGCCAGAACGCAGGAAGUUAAAGUGGACCCUGAUAAACCACUGGAAGGCGUUCGGCUGCUGGUGC